CAGCCGCCGCGGUAAUACGAAGGGUGCAAGCGUUACUCGGAAUUACUGGGCGUAAAGCGUGCGUAGGUGGUGGUUUAAGUCCGUUGUGAAAGCCCUGGGCUCAACCUGGGAAUUGCAGUGGAUACUGGAUCACUAGAGUGUGGUAGAGGAUAGUGGAAUUUCCGGUGUAGCAGUGAAAUGCGUAGAGAUCGGAAGGAACAUCUGUGGCGAAGGCGACUAUCUGGGCCAACACUGACACUGAGGCACGAGAGCGUGGGGAGCAAACAGGAUUAGAUACCCCCGUAGUCCCUGUCUCUUAUAC
rnacentral:rRNA from 1 species